rnacentral:lncRNA from 1 species
CUGUUUACUCUUUUCUCUACCAUCGUGUCUUCAACGAACCAAUAUCUAGAGAAUUUUGUAGGAUUAUGCUUUGUAUAGAUCUCAAAGCACUUCGAAUCUUUUCAUUCAUCCAUCUACAUAAAUAUCGAAGAAACCAUUGCAUAAUCUGAUGGAUUAGGACGUAGGACGGUGGAUCCUUUAUUGGCGCUAAAGAUACAACCCUGUCCCAAUUUUUACACAGGUCAUGCUCUAA